rnacentral:rRNA from 1 species
GAUGAACGCUGGCGGCGUGCUUAACACAUGCAAGUCGAGCGAAGCACUUAUGAAAGAUUCUUCGGAUGAUUUCAUUUGUGACUGAGCGGCGGACGGGUGAGUAACGCGUGGGUAACCUGCCUCAUACAGGGGGAUAACAGUUGGAAACGACUGCUAAUACCGCAUAAGCGCACAGUACCGCAUGGUACAGUGUGAAAAACUCCGGUGGUAUGAGAUGGACCCGCGUCUGAUUAGCUUGUUGGUGGGGUAACGGCCUACCAAGGCAACGAUCAGUAGCCGACCUGAGAGGGUGACCGGCCACAUUGGGACUGAGUCACGGCCCAAACUCCUACGGGAGGCAGCAGUGGGGAAUAUUGCACAAUGGGGGAAACCCUGAUGCAGCAACGCCGCGUGAGUGAAGAAGUAUUUCGGUAUGUAAAGCUCUAUCAGCAGGGAAGAAAAUGACGGUACCUGACUAAGAAGCCCCGGCUAACUACGUGCCAGCCGCCGCCGCCG